GAUGAACGCUAGCGGCAGGCUUAACACAUGCAAGUCGAGCGGAAACGACACUAACAAUCCUUCGGGUGCGUUAUUGGGCGUCGAGCGGCGGACGGGUGAGUAAUGCCUAGGAAAUUGCCUUGAUGUGGGGGAUAACCAUUGGAAACGAUUGCUAAUACCCUAUAUGCCUUUAUGUCAUAAGACAGCAAGGGAAAUAUUUAUAGCUUGAAGAUCGGCCUGUACAGUAUCAGUUAGUUGGUGAGGUAAUGGCUCACCAAGACAAUGACGCUUAACUGGUUUGAGAGGAUGAUCAGUCACACUGGAACUGAGACACGGCCCAG
rnacentral:rRNA from 1 species